rnacentral:rRNA from 1 species
CCUACGGGGGGCUGCAGUGGGGAAUAUUGGACAAUGGGGGGAACCCUGAUCCAGCCAUACCGCGUGUGUGAAGAAGGCCCUCGGGUUGUAAAGCACUUUCAGUGAGGAAGAACGCCUGGUGGUUAAUACCCAUCAGGAAAGACAUCACUCACAGAAGAAGCACCGGCUAACUCCGUGCCAGCAGCCGCGGUAAUACGGAGGGUGCGAGCGUUAAUCGGAAUUACUGGGCGUAAAGCGCGCGUAGGUGGCUUGAUAAGCCGGUUGUGAAAGCCCCGGGCUCAACCUGGGAACGGCAUCCGGAACUGUCAAGCUAGAGUGCAGGAGAGGAAGGUAGAAUUCCCGGUGUAGCGGUGAAAUGCGUAGAGAUCGGGAGGAAUACCAGUGGCGAAGGCGGCCUUCUGGACUGUCUCUGACACUGAGGUGCGAAAGCGUGGGUAGCAAACAGGAUUAGAUAUCCGAGUAGUC